rnacentral:rRNA from 1 species
UACGGGGGGUGCGAGCGUUGUCCGGAAUCACUGGGCGUAAAGGGCGCGUAGGUGGUUUGAUAAGGGUGUGGUGAAAGUCCGGAGCUCAACUCCGGAUCUGCCGUGCCGACUGUCAAACUCGAGGGCUGUAGAGGCAGACGGAAUUCCGGGUGUAGCGGUGGAAUGCGUAGAGAUCCGGAGGAAGACCGGUGGCGAAGGCAGGUUACUGGUGCGCAACUGACACUGAGGCACGAAAGCGUGGGGAGCAAACAGG